GGGAGUGGCAAGCGUUAUCCGGAAUUAUUGGGCGUAAAGCGUCCGCAGGCGGCCCUUCAAGUCUGCUGUUAAAAAGUGGAGCUUAACUCCAUCAUGGCAGUGGUAACUGUUGGGCUUGAGUGUGGUAGGGGCAGAGGGAAUUCCCGUGUAGCGGUGAAAUGCGUAGAUAUCGGGAAGAACACCAGUGGCGAAGGCGC
rnacentral:rRNA from 1 species